CGCUGGCGGCAUGUCUAACACAUGCAAGUCGAACGAAGGCUUCGGCCUUAGUGGCGCACGGGUGCGUAACGCGUGGGAAUCUGCCCUUGGGUUCGGAAUAACUCAGAGAAAUUUGAGCUAAUACCGGAUGAUGACGUAAGUCCAAAGAUUUAUCGCCCAAGGAUGAGCCCGCGUAGGAUUAGCUAGUUGGUGGGGUAAAGGCCUACCAAGGCGACGAUCCUUAGCUGGUCUGAGAGGAUGAUCAGCCACACUGGGACUGAGACACGGCCCAGACUCCUACGGGAGGCAGCAGUGGGGAAUAUUGGACAAUGGGCGAAAGCCUGAUCCAGCAAUGCCGCGUGAGUGAUGAAGGCCUUAGGGUUGUAAAGCUCUUUUACCCGGGAUGAUAAUGACAGUACCGGGAGAAUAAGCUCCGGCU
rnacentral:rRNA from 1 species